rnacentral:rRNA from 1 species
GAUGAACGCUGGCGGCGUGCUUAACACAUGCAAGUCGAACGAGAAGUGGAGACGGAAACCUUCGGGCGGAAGACUUUACUUCGAGUGGCGGACGGGUGAGUAACGCGUGGGUAACCUGCCUCAUACAGGGGGAUAACAGUUGGAAACGACUGUUAAUACCGCAUAAGACCACAGCACCGCAUGGUGCGGGGGUAAAAACUCCGGUGGUAUGAGAUGGACCCGCGUUCGAUUAGCCAGUUGGCGGGGUAACGGCCCACCAAAGCGACGAUCGAUAGCCGAUCUGAGAGGAUGACCGGCCACAUUGGGACUGAGACACGGCCCAAACUCCUACGGGGGGCAGCAGUGGGGAAUAUUGCACAAUGGGGGAAACCCUGAUGCAGCGACGCCGCGUGAGUGAAGAAGUAUUUCGGUAUGUAAAGCUCUAUCAGCAGGGAAGAAAAUGACAGUACCUGAGUAAGAAGCCCCGGCUAACUACGUG